rnacentral:rRNA from 1 species
AUUGAACGCUGGCGGCAUGCCUUACACAUGCAAGUCGAACGGCAGCAUAGAGGGCUCGCUCUCUGAUGGCGAGUGGCGAACGGGUGAGUAAAGCAUCGGAACGUACCGUGUAGUGGGGGAUAACGUAGCGAAAGUUACGCUAAUACCGCAUACGUACUGAGGUAGAAAGCAGGGGAUCGUAAGACCUUGCGCUAUACGAGCGGCCGAUGUCAGAUUAGCUAGUUGGUAGGGUAAAGGCCUACCAAGGCGACGAUAUGUAGCGGGUCUGAGAGGAGUAUCAGGCACACUGGGACGGGUAAACGGCCCAGACUCCUAGGGGAGGCAGCAGUGGGGAAUUUUGGACAAUGGGGGCAACCCUGAUCCAGCCAUGCCGCGUGGUUGAAGAAGGCCUUCGGGUUGUAAAGCUCUUUCGGCCGGGAAGAAAUCGCACAGGCUAAUACCCUGUGUGGAUGACGGUACCGGCAUAAGAAGCACCGGCUAACUACGUGCCAGCCGCCGCCGUAA